rnacentral:rRNA from 1 species
UACGUAGGGUGCAAGCGUUGUCCGGAAUUAUUGGGCGUAAAGAGCUCGUAGGCGGCCUGUUACGUCUGCUGUGAAAUCCCGGGGCUUAACCCCGGGCGUGCAGUGGAUACGGGCAGGCUGGAGGCAGGCAGGGGAGAACGGAAUUCCCGGUGUAGCGGUGAAAUGCGCAGAUAUCGGGAGGAACACCGGUGGCGAAGGCGGUUCUCUGGGCCGUUACUGACGCUGAGAAGCGAAAGCAUGGGGAGCGAACAGG